CAGUCGCCGCGGUAAUACGUAGGGUGCAAGCGUUAAUCGGAAUUACUGGGCGUAAAGCGUGCGCAGGCGGUUAUAUAAGACAGAUGUGAAAUCCCCGGGCUCAACCUGGGAACUGCAUUUGUGACUGUAUAGCUAGAGUACGGCAGAGGGGGAUGGAAUUCCGCGUGUAGCAGUGAAAUGCGUAGAUAUGCGGAGGAACACCGAUGGCGAAAGCAAUCCCCUGGGCCUGUACUGACGCUCAUGCACGAAAGCGUGGGGAGCAAACAGGAUUAGAUACCCGCGUAGUCCCUGUCUCUUAUAC
rnacentral:rRNA from 1 species